GGAGUUUGUACGUGCUUUGUCUCUAAGGGCCACCAUAAAUAUACUUUAUUUAUUCACUCCACAUAAAAUGUAAUAAAUAAAUCAUAUAAUACAAAAAACAACUAUUUACAUUUUAAACUUUUAACUAUUUAAAUUUUCAGCUUUUUAAAUUUUAAAUUUUCAGCUUUUUCCUUUUAAACAAAUUUAACGUGAAACAACACAAAACACUGCAAACCACAACACAAUUAAAUAUAAUUUAAAAUAUUAAAACAAAAAGAAGAUGCACAUUCUCUGUCAUAUGGGCCUGCAUGAUUUCUGAAUCUACUAUACCUUUCUAAUGUGACGUUGUUGUCCUGCGCUCUUUUUCUCUCUGGCUCUGUUCCUGUGCUACUGCGAGUGUAACUAACGUCCCUCCCCCCUCUGCCCAGCGCAAAGUACAGGCCGCGCAUGCGGAGUUUAGCGGAAAAAAAGGCGAGAGAGAGAGAGUGUGAGAGAAAGAAAGAAAAAAAAAAAAAAAAAAAACCUCACGGCUCCCAAUAACGAGCUGGCUCGUGUCGUUCACUUCAAAGAGUCGGCUCAAAGAGCCAUUUCGUUCGCGAACGACCCAUCACUACUAACAGUGUCGGUGAGGAAACUGUUUAAGGAACCGAGGGUGUCACGGAGUUGGCUACGGGGGACUCUACUGUCAAACACGAUAAUUUCCGUUUUCCUGUCGUUUAGAAUAAGAGAGCCAAUUUUUGACCUCACACAUGCACUCGCGAAAGCCGCACAAAGACAUAGAGGGAUCAUCAGUUAGCUUGAAAUACAUCUGUAUGUUGUCGGCAUAACAAUGAUGUGCGAUGUUAUACUUCUCAAAGAUUGAGCCUAAAGGAGCAUAUACAGUGAGAAGAGCAGGGGCCAAGGACAGAUCCUUGAGGCACGCCGCAGGAGACAGGUGCAGCAGAGGAGAGAUAAGGGCCAAAAUUGAUCGAGAAGGACCUAUUAGAGAGGUAUGACUUAAACCAAUUUAGGGCGGCACCUCCAAUGCCAAGUGUGUGUUCAAGCCUCGCUAAUAGGAUGUUAUGAUCUACCAUAUCAAAG
ensembl:lncRNA